rnacentral:rRNA from 1 species
CGUUCCCGGGUCUUGUACACACCGCCCGUCACACCACGGGAGUUGGGGCGCCCGAAGCCGGAUUGCUAACCUUUUGGAAGCGUCCGUCGAAGGUGAAAUCAAUAACUGGGGUG